CAGAACGACUCUCGGCAACGGAUAUCUCGGCUCUUGCAUCGAUGAAGAACGUAGCGAAAUGCGAUACGUGGUGUGAAUUGCAGAAUCCCGUGAACCAUCGAGUUUUUGAACGCAAGUUGCGCCCAAAGCCUUUUGGUUGAGGGCACGUCUGCCUGGG
rnacentral:rRNA from 1 species